rnacentral:lncRNA from 1 species
CCAUAUAUAACGUCUUCUACAUCUUUCUAACUUAUACGAAUUCUUAAUAGAGGUACUCAACCCCUAGUCCAGAUUUAGAAGACAACUCACCUAUUCACAGCUAACGGCGGCUCUCGUUGGUAGUUGGACAGCAACACAGAGACCAGCCUUGAGCCUCUCGGUGAUGGUGUUGAGCCAAAAUCGCAGAGGAAUAUACUGUGGUGUGAUGGCAAUAACAACACACGAGUUUAUAAAUUUUUCGGUAGAGAGAACUACAUAUGGAUUUUGGUCGGUUGCGCGGUUCUUGUGCGGGUGAGGGGGUUUUUUCCUUACUCGAAC